CUUCAUCUAGAACCAGCCGGUUCUUUCCUGUAGCCACUGUCCUCUUCGGGCAACUCCAUCUCUUAAAGUCCCUGCAGUCUGCCCGCCGCCUGUCCCUGCCAACUGGUCUGCAAACGUCACAGAGCACCGUCCCAAAUGUGCAUCUGCCCCUUGCUGAAAACCCUCUUUGGCUCCCUGGUGCUGUCCGAAUGGUUUCAGAGCCGGUGUGGUUUGAGCAUGCUCCAGACCUUCUCACCUGGCCCGUGUGGCUGAAGCUGCCUAGUGAUUCCUUUCCUGCCAAGAGAUGCUGGAGGGCCGAAGAUGAAUCAAGUCAGCGAAAGUUCCACGGUCAAGUUGGAUGUGUGGUGGAGAGGCUGUGGCUGACUAACCACGCAACGCUGCCAGCUCUGCUCAGUAAAUAUUUUAGGCUUUGAGGACUUUCCAGCCUCGCUCUGCUGCCUCAGGCAAGCUCCAAACAGGCAGGCGUGGCUGGGCCCAGAGUGGACCUGAUGGGACUUGGUAUGGCUUUUACCUUUACCCACAACCAUUUGAAGCUGCUGAAACACUUCUGAGCUCGCAGGCCACCCGGCAGUGGGGAAGCAGGCUCCUUCGGCCAUGGGUUCCGGCUUCCCAACCCCUAAUCUCAGACUACAGACUGUCAAAGUGGGUAGACUAUGCCUUUCCCUCGGCUGUGACAAAAUGCCCACAGACGCAAUUUAGGGCAGGGCUUGUUUUGUUCCCAAUUUAAGGGUGUGGUCUAUCAGGGUCAGAGUGUGAGGCAGCUGGCUAUGCUGUGUCUGUCAGGCAGAAAGCGGUGAGAGAUGAACCUGGGGCUCAGCUCACUUUCCCUGUUUCCUUCAUUCCUAGCCUCUGCCCCCCCCCCAUGACGCCUCCUGACCACAUACUGGUGGAGCACUUCACUUCUCUCUCCAGGAACUUUUCUGAAAACGCCUUCUCACCCCUACCCUCACCCAAAGGUGCAUUUCUGUGCGGUUAUCAAUCUAGGUGACAAGAGCCAGACAUGGUGGCUCACACCUGUAAUCCCAGCUUUCAGAGGGCUGAACCAGGAAGUUGUCAUGGGCUAGAGGUCAUCUGGGCUAGAUAGUGAGUACCAGGGCAGCCUGGGCUAUAUGUGAACCUAUUAAUAAAUAAGUAAGUAAAUAGUUUUGAAAGCCAGGCUUGAUGGUGUCCACCACACCUUAAAUCCAAGAACUCAAGAAGAAAGGCAGGUGGAUCUCUGUGGGUUCCUGGUCAGCCAGGGCCACAUGGUGAGACCCAGUCUCAAAACAAGAAGAAACAGUUCUGGGGCUAGGAGAGGGAGCGCUCCAUCCAUCAGCUGGUCUGCACCUGGCAUAGCUGGUUUGCACCUGGCACAGCUGGUUUGCACCUGUUUUACGGCCUGGCUGUGUUGAGGCUACGGUUACCUACCUCCAACACCCGAGGAGACCCCUAAGUAGCUCAUCUCUGUUCCUAGCUGGAGUCAACCACUGUUGCCCAGCACUGUCUCCUGAACCAAACAACUGCCAUCUGGGGACAUUCAGCUGUGCCCCCUUACAAACAAACAAACAAACAAACAAACAAACAAACCUCCCAGCUGUGCUAUGUUUGUUGAUGGACCUCGUCGCUGCAGGGUAAAGACUUUCCAGGUAUUGCCUGUUGGAGAGGAAUACCCCGCUCCUGUAAGUAGCCCCUUACCUGUGCUCUUUAAUGAAGCUCAAUAAACUCACCGGCUCGGUCAGCUAAAAAAAAAAAAAAAAA
rnacentral:lncRNA from 1 species